CACCGGUGGGUGAUGAUACGCACGGACGGAGGAGCGCAUGAAACACGCACCGCUUGGCAGCAAAAACAUGCCCAUGUACACUGCCGUCCCAACAUCGUCUCACCAUUUUAUACGUUAUGCUUACAUCUUUUUCUAUUUAUGGAUCCUUUCGCCCAUUUUGGAAUCAUAACGAUGCUCGAUUUACCAGUCAGCGAGCAUUUUUAGGUCUAAAAAGGCUUCUAGGGGAAAUGAGACUGAAAGGGGAUCUCUAAAAAAAAAAAAAGGUGUAAUUGGCGAUCGGGUUUUUUCUUGCCGCAAUCUGCUGUUCAUCCGCAUUUUUUCCGCAUUAUACGUUAAUAUUUCACGCACUUCAUACAAAUCCAGGGGACUAUGUGAACAUCAUGCUGGCGGUGAGGUGCCUAAUGUUUGCUGCAGUGGGUGCAAGAUUUGCCAUGACAGGCUGGACCGGAUCCCUGUUACGGGAUGCGGGUUUGUGGGACUGGGCAGCGCCAGCGGACAGGGGGGAGCGCACCGCGGCAUCGAGGGAAGUCACCAAACCGAGACGUCUUGUGCAUCAGAUCGACGCGGAGGGGGAGAUGGUUCAUAGCCAUCUGGACACUAGGAUUAAGAAUCACUCUGACGGCGAGGCGCCCGUCCAUCUGGCCCAGAGCAGUUUCCUGGUGGAAGCCUUCAACAUCUCCUUCAUCCUGGACUUGGAGUUAAACCACCACCUACUGUCCUCUAACUACGUGGAACGACAUUUCGACAAGGACGGCAGGCCGAUGCAGACUGCGGGAGGGGAGCACUGCUAUUACCACGGGGGGCUGCGCGGCGUGCUGGGCUCCUGGGCCGCCCUCUCAACCUGCCACGGCCUCUGCGGCAUGUUCUCUGAUGGGAGGUUCUCCUACAGCAUCGAGCCGAUCCUCGGCAAGGGUGACAACUUGCAUGAGGUGCACAAGAUGCCAAACAUGGAAGUACCCCCCUCUUGUCCAGGCUGUGCCGAGAACAGCAGUGAUGUCCAGGAUGACCUCCCCUGGUGGAGACCAUCUCUUAGGCGUUCCAAAAGACAAGUACGUCGCCCACAGUACACAGUUCUGAGCGAAACCAAAUACAUUGAGCUGCUUGUGGUCAACGAUCAUGACUUGUUUUUGCAGCUCCGUGGCUCGACCUCCCAGACCAGGAACUUUGCCAAGGCUGUAGUGAACAUGGCGGACGCGAUCUACAAGGAGCAGCUGAACACCCGCAUAGUGCUCGUCGCCAUGGAAACGUGGUCCUCUGGGAACAUGGUUUCGGUGGGAGCGGAUCCUCUGAUGACCCUGCGCGACUUCAUGAAGUACAGAAAGGAGAACAUCAAGGAGCAGAGCGAUGCGGCUCACCUCUUCUCGGGGAGCACUUUCCAGAGCAGCCGCAGUGGCACAGCCUACAUGGGCGGGGUUUGCUCCCCCACUCGAGGAGGGGGGGUCAACGAGCACGGGAACGUCGGGCCCAUGGCAAUCACUCUGUGCCAGAGCCUCGGCCAGAACAUCGGCAUGAUGUGGAACGUGGAUCGCAUCGCUGCAGGAGACUGCAGAUGUCCGGACACGUGGCUGGGAUGCAUCAUGGAGGACACAGGGUUUUACACCCCCAGGAAGUUUUCCCGCUGCAGUGUGGAGGAGUACAUACGUUUCCUGCAAAGGGGUGGGGGGAGCUGCCUCUUCAACAAGCCCGUAAAGCUGUUGGACCCCCCUGAGUGUGGGAACGGCUUUGUGGAAACCGGAGAAGAAUGCGACUGCGGUUCUCAGGUGGAGUGCGCGAGGAAUGGAGGGGCGUGCUGUAAGAAGUGCACUCUUUCGCACGAUGCCAUGUGCAGCAACGGACUUUGCUGCCGGAGCUGCAGGUACGAGUCGCGAGGGGUGGUGUGCCGGGAGCCGGUGAACGACUGCGACAUUCCUGAGACGUGCACCGGGGACUCCAGUCAGUGCCCGCACAAUGUCCACAAGCUGGACGGCUACCUGUGCGAUGGGGGCCAGGGCCGGUGUUAUGAGGGCCGGUGUCGCACCCGGGACGGCCAGUGCCAGGGAAUCUGGGGCCACGUUUCGGCGGACCGGUUCUGCUACGAGAAGCUGAACGCCGAGGGCACGGAGAAGGGAAACUGUGGGCGCGAUGCUGGUGGGCAGAGCUGGCUGCAGUGUCACAAGCAGGACGUGCUCUGUGGGUUCCUGCUUUGCUCCAACAUGACCGCGAAGCCCUCGUUCGGAGUCCUCCAGGGCGAGGUGACCAGCCUGACCAUCUACCACCAGAACAAGUACCUGGAGUGCCGUGGGGGCCACGCCCUAUUGGACGACGGCUCCGACCUGGGUUACGUGGAAGACGGCACCCCGUGUGGUCCCAACAUGAUGUGCCUGGAUCGCCGCUGCCUCCCAGUGGUCGCCUUCAACCUCAGCACCUGCCCGGGCUCGUUGGCCGCCCGUACCUGUUCUGACCAUGGGAUCUGUAGUAACGAGGUGAAGUGCAUCUGCGACCGGGACUUUACAGGCAAAGAUUGCAGCGUGUUCGACCCUAUUCCUGAUGCCACACCCCCGGGCACCCCAGAGAAGAAGGUCCGGCAGUGACACAGGGUAUUUUGGCUUUUGCUAUCUGCAAGGCUGAUGCCCGCCCCUGAGCAGGAGGGUGCCCAGCCGACAGAGAGGGGGCGCCGCGUGCCGAAAAACAUUCGGAGAGGAAGGUCUGGUGGGGGAUAAGAUGUAAGUCGGUCUGCACUCUGUCCUUUUCACGUAGAAGAAGAAAAAAAGAUGUCUUCCACUCAUUCCAGAACUAUGACCACGGCGACCCUUCAUCCAUCUCCUCUCUCCGCUCUUUACUUGUCUCUUUAUCCCUUUGGGCCCUCAGGGGUCCUUGCAAGCUGUUCCACGCAAGUUCCAGCCAAACUCCACUGCCCUCCCUCCCAGGGGUAACGUCAUGCCUCUGAGAAAUCUCUCCACACUUAGUAGUGUCUUUCAGCAGUGGUUUCCCCUUUUGCCCUAAACAGUGAGCCCCCUGUCCACCCGGAGGACUUGUAGCACCUGUUUUCAUUUUGUUAUGGAGGACUAUUGACUGGAGCCCCAACUGUAUUUUGACUGGGUUCCCUUGAAGCACCAAGACACUCAGUGACAUGAGCUAAACCUGCCAAGUUAGAUAUCAGGAAGUACUGGGAAAGCUGUGUGGCCAUGUCUUUCUUCUCAGUGGCUUUAUAGACUUGCAUACGCCAUGUUACCUGCUGGAGACAGGAAGCAGCCUCUGGAUGUUGUACCCUCAGUAUGAUGUCAUAUCCUUCCACCAAGACAGAGGGACACAAAAUUGCGUGGUCUUGUUUCAGAUGAGGAAGGCAAAACGGGAUAU